UACGUAGGGUGCGAGCGUUGUCCGGAAUUAUUGGGCGUAAAGGGCUCGUAGGCGGUUUGUCGCGUCGGGAGUGAAAAUCCAGGGCUUAACUCUGGACUGGCUUCCGAUACGGGCAGACUAGAGGUAUGCAGGGGAGAACGGAAUUCCUGGUGUAGCGGUGAAAUGCGCAGAUAUCAGGAGGAACACCGGUGGCGAAGGCGGUUCUCUGGGCAUUACCUGACGCUGAGGAGCGAAAGUGUGGGGGGCAAACAGG
rnacentral:rRNA from 1 species